UCCAAAAGACUCUUAAAUUACACCUUAAAAAUAUUAUUUGAGAUAAUUUUAUUAUUUUUCCUUGAUUUUUCAGGAUUUCAUAUGAUUUUUGAAUUUCUUGUUAUUUUUUCUUUUUUUAAUUAGGGAUUAUGAUUUUCUUGGUUAUAGUUGGUUUUUGGUUUGUAAACCUCUCAGAAAGAAGUAAUAUAUCGGACUUUAUUCUAAAAAAUAAAGCUAGAAAUUAGGGUUCUUGUUAAGCUAACCUUUUUUGUCAAACUUUGUUGUUGUCUUAUUUGUUUUUGUGCUUCUAAUCACGAUGAAAUACAUCUUCACCUUUGGACUUUGUAAAGUGGAUUCAGCACUGAUAUCCCCAUAUCUGGCAUACAAGUCUUCAAAGUUUGGAGCCAAGUCCCAGCUGAUGAAAUGAUCGUUAGCUUUGAUGACCUUCUCAUAGUCUUGCCCAACUCUUACAGUUCCACCAGUUGCAAUAUCCAGCGACUUCAUCAAAGCGUUGUUUGAUUGUAUGCUUUUCCAUUUUGCAUCCCAUAUGGGACUAUAAUGCUUUUUGUUUCUAAUAAUAAUACUUGUCUUGUUGCUUAUGCACCGGCAACUCUGUUCUGAACAAUAAUGUCUCCUAAGCCUUCACUCGCUGAAUUGUCAUGAGAUAGUUUUGCUACGCCUUAGAUAUCACCAUUAGCUUUUGUAAGCUUAUUUGCCUAGAUUAAAGUGUUUGAUCGUUUGAAGAGGGUGUUGAAAUUGAUCUCAACAAGCCGUUGUACUGCGGUUUCUUGCGCUCUGAGGCCCAUUACACUCUGGACAACUGGACUACAGAACUGGAGUAUCUCAUUCAUCCCAUCUAUUCCUUCCAUGUCAUCUGUGAGCAAGAUUAAACUUGCUUGUGCUAUUAUAGAGAUAUGCUAUAAGGUUGUUGUGCAGUGGCUUCUUGAGGACUUUCUUGUUGACUUCCUACACUAUCUUGAAUCGCUAAAAUACUGGAAACUAAACAAGCAACGAGACAGUUUCCGGGCACGCAGAACACCUAGCGCCUGAUAUCACAGUAAACCAUCACCCGCUAUCAUCCAUUUCAGCGUUGAGGCUUUUCUCAGGCGUUCGGCUUCGAGGGUAAGAGUACAAAAGCUUUGUGCACUCUAGAGUCCUGUGUCGCCCUUUUAGCGCUUCCAAGUUUGCUGUUACUGAUUUGAUAAUUGCUUUCAGUGGUGAUGAAAAUAUGGAAAUGGAUCGUCUUUUAGCUGCUCCUGGAAGGGAGACAACUGACGUCACAGAGACAUCAUCCAAUGACCAGAGAGAAUAUAGUAAUAGCAACCCAAAACUUUCCCUGUUUGCAGACAAGUCAUAUGAACAUUUUAUGGAGAAGCUUGAUUCUAGCACUAAUUAUUCUUCGAGGUUGUCAAUGUCAGGGGUAAAUUGAUCCCUCGGAAAUUCGCCCUGUUCUAGAAAAGCUGUGCUCUAAAUAUGGAGAUGUCAGUGCAGAAUCCACGUUAAGUCCACGAGUGAAGAACUAUAUCACUGUCAUGCUGUGUCGGGCUAGGUACAGCAUCUUUUAUUUAUUAUUAUUUUUAAUUUAAUUUUGGAUUUUCAAUGUUAAUUUCACAUUUUGUUUUUAGUUCUACUAUCUAUAUAAGGAUUCUGAUUGUCA